rnacentral:rRNA from 1 species
CCUACGUGAGGCAGCAGUGAGGAAUAUUGGUCAAUGGGCGAGAGCCUGAACCAGCGAAGUCGCGUGAAGGAUGACGGCCCUACGGGUUGUAAACUUCUUUUGUCAGGGAGCAAUUGAGUCCACGUGUGGGCUUAGCGAGAGUACCUGAAGAAAAAGCAUCGGCUAACUUCGUUCCAGCAGCCGCGGUAAUACGGAGGAUGCGGGCGUUAGCCGGAUUUAUUGGGUUUAAAGGGUGCGUAGGCGGAAUAUCAAGUCAGCGGUAAAAAUUCGGGGCUCAACCCCGUCGUGCCGUUGAAACUGAUGUUCUUGAGUGGGCGAGAAGUAUGCGGAAUGCGUGGUGUAGCGGUGAAAUGCAUAGAUAUCACGCAGAACUCCGAUUGCGAAGGCAGCAUACCGGCGCCCAACUGACGCUGAAGCACGAUAGCGUGGGUAUCGAACAGGAUUAGAUACCCCAGUAGUC